GCGAGUGGGGGGCAAUUGUUACAGGGGCUGCCCAAUUAUCGAAUCCCGUCUCCUUUCUCUGGAAUGUGCUCAAUUGCCCACCAACGCCAUGGAUGGAUGGAACCGGGCUGGGAUAUCUGGGAAACAUCCAUUCACUUGGAGCCAAGCAACAAUAUGGCAUCGGCCUACGCCCGACCACCAUCUUGGCCCAUUAUUGACCCAAAGGUUGGGACCCAACCAAUAGUG
rnacentral:lncRNA from 1 species